AACGCUGGCGGGCGUGCUUUAACACAUGCAAGUCGAACGAAGAGCGACGGAAGCUUGCUUCUAUCAAUCUUAGUGGCGAACGGGUGAGUAAACGCGUAAUCAACCUGCCCUUCAGAGGGGGGACCAACAGUUUGAAAACGACUGCUAAUACCGCAUACGAUCUAAUCUCGGCAUCGAGGAUAGAUGAAAGGUGGCCUCUACAUGUAAGCUAUCACUGAAGGAGGGGAUUGCGUCUGAUUAGCUAGUUGGAGGGGUAACGGCCCACCAAGGCGAUGAUCAGUAGCCGGUCUGAGAGGAUGAACGGCCACAUUUGGGACUGAGACACGGCCCAGGACCUACGGGAGGCAGCAGCGGGGAAUCUUCCGCAAUGGACGAAAGUCUGACGGAGCAACGCCGCGUGAGUGAUGACCGGCUUCGGGUUGUAAAGCUCUGUUAAUCGGGACGAAAGGCCUUCUUGCAAAUAGUGAGAAGGAUAGACCGGUACCCGGAA
rnacentral:rRNA from 1 species